rnacentral:lncRNA from 1 species
GGCCAGACGGUGACUGCCAGCGAGUGGGAGGUGGCGUGGGCAGCCUGUGGGCCCCACGUCCAGGCCAUCUGUCCUGGGUGGUACACAGGCACCCUCCCCCACUGGCCUCCCUCCAGGGGCACCUGGUCUGGGGCAGCUCUGGGGGGCGCCUUAGGGCUGCUGUGGGGUGAGCACCUGUGCGGCUGGCCGUCAGGAGCUGGCCUGGGGGUCUGAGCCGUGAGGAUGUCCAGCCUUGGUGGCCCUGGUGGCCCACGUCGGGGCAGAUGACUGGAAAGCCCUCUCUGUCUUUACUUUCAGGCUACGAAGUUUGGAUCCCAGGCAAGUCAGAAGGUAACCCAGGGAGCCGCUGUUGAGAGUGCUAGGCUGGUCCCUUUCUCCUGUGCCCAGGGAGGGGGCACCCGCACACAAAUUUGCCCCAUCGCCCAUCAGCCCAAGUCACUUGAGGUGCCUGCGGGGUUUAGCAGGUGGAGUCGGCUGCACCUGGGCCGUGGGGCCGAAGUCCUCACUGUCCCUGGCAGCCGGGCACUCUGGGCCGCUGUGCCCUUGGCUUUGGGACAGAGGGCCUGUGUCCUGCCGAGGCAGCAUCUUUCUGUCCCUGGUCAGCACCCUCCCUUCUUGUGGGCAGUGUCCUGGGCCCUGGCAUUGGUCUUGCUCCCGGUCUUGGUUGUUGCCAAACUGCUGCUCCUACCGCCUCGCUCUCUCUCUCGCCUUCUCCCUGCCUCGCCACGCUGCCUGGGUAAAGUUCUGGGGUUCCAAGCAGCAGCCGGAGCCGGUAAGCCGCAUCUGUUCUCACGCACGCCCCCUGGUCUGUCUGGGCAUGUGCCCUGCUCUGAGCUGUCGUUCUGCGGCCUGUGUGUCGGGGCUUCCGUGUGCUUGCGCUGAGAGCUGCCCACCAGCCUGCCUGGCCCUGCCUGGCCCAUCCCCAGAGCUCGGGCAUCCACGUCACAGGCUGGAGGCGUGGGAUCUGGCACCUGCGGCUGCCGUGACAGGGCCGGGGGUGGGGCCUGCAGGUCCUUGGCGGCAUUUUCCUCUUUUAGUUUAAUCACCUUCUGCCGAAUAAGCGAGAGGAGUCCUGUCCCGCACGAGUGGACUCCCCACCAGCCUGCCUGACCUGACCUGGGCUCGCCCCCCUGCCCCCCUGCUCCAUCCCUUCUGUCUGCGCUCCUGCGUAGUUGGCCUUGUUGUCAGCACAGGGGUGGCCUCGCGGGAUGGGGUGUGUGUGGUCCCUGUGGCGGGGAGGGACUCCAAGGGCCUGGGCCCAUCCCAGAGC